AGUGAACGCUGGCGGUAGGCCUAACACAUGCAAGUCGAACGGCAGCACAGUAAGAGCUUGCUCUUACGGGUGACGAGUGGCGGACGGGUGAGGAAUACAUCGGAAUCUACUUUUUCGUGGGGGAUAACGUAGGGAAACUUACGCUAAUACCGCAUACGACCUACGGGUGAAAGCAGGGGAUCUUCGGACCUUUCGCGAUUGAAUGAGCCGAUGUCGGAUUAGCUAGUUGGCGGGGUAAAGGCCCACCAAGGCGACGAUCCGUAGCUGGUCUGAGAGGAUGAUCAGCCACACUGGAACUGAGACACGGUCCAGACUCCUACGAGAGGCAGCAGUGGGGAAUAUUGGACAAUGGGCGCAAGCCUGAUCCAGCCAUACCGCGUGGGUGAAGAAGGCCUUCGGGUUGUAAAGCCCUUUUGUUGGGAAAGAAAAGCAGCAGGUUAAUACCCCGCUGUUCUGACGGUACCCAAAGAAUAAGCACCGGCUAACCUCGUG
rnacentral:rRNA from 1 species